CCAGCACGUUAUGGUGGGCACUCUAAGGAGACUGCCGGUGCAAACCGGAGGAAGGUGGGGAUGACGUCAAGUCAUCAUGGCCCUUACGGCCUGGGCUACACACGUGCUACAAUGGUCGGUACAAAGGGUUGCCAAGCCGCGAGGUGGAGCUAAUCCCAUAAAACCGAUCGUAGUCCGGAUCGCAGUCUGCAACUCGACUGCGUGAAGUCGGAAUCGCUAGUAAUCGUGAAUCAGAAUGUCACGGUGAAUACGUUCCCGGGCCUU
rnacentral:rRNA from 1 species